AUGAGACUGUGGGGUCUUCUCCUCUGCCUUGGGACAGCUGCCCCAGGUGUCCUGUCCCAGGUGCAGCUGCAGGAAUCAGGCCCAGGACUGGUGACCCCCUCCAAGACACUCUCCCUCACCUGCUCUGUCUCUGGAUUUUCCAUCACAACCAGUGGUUACUGCUGGCACUGGAUCCGCCAGCCUACAGGGAAGGGUCUACAGUGGUUGGGGAUUAUAUGUUAUGAUGGAAGCACUAACUACAGCCCAUCUGUGAAGAGCCGCAUCUCCAUCUCCAGAGACACAAACCAGAACCAAUUCUCCCUGCAGCUGAACUCUGUGACCCCUGAGGACACAGCUGUGUAUUAUUGUGCAAGAGACACAGUGAGAGGAAGUCAGGGCAAGCCCAGACACAAACCUGAGGAAGAUAGGAGUAUGGACCUAAGAGAUGGAGGGCACCAGGGGGCGUUCACAACCUAUUAA